GUAGGGAAUAUUGGACAAUGGGGGGAACCCUGAUCCAGCCAUGCCUCGUGGAGGAAGACUGCCCUCUGGGUUGUAAACUCCUUUUAUAUGGGAAGAACCGUCCUCAUUAAUGAUUGACCUGACGGUACCAUAGGAAUAAGCACCGGCUAACUCCGUGCCAGCAGCCGCGGUAUUACGGAGGGUGCAAGCGUUAUCCGGAUUCACUGAGUUUAAAGGGUGCGUAGGCGGAUAAAUAAGUCAGUGGUGAAAUCAACGGGCUCAACCUGUUAACUGCCAUUGAUACGGUGUAUCUUGAAUAUGAGAGAGGUAGGCGGAAUGUUGCAUGUAGCGGUGAAAUGCUUAGAUAUGCUACGGAACACCGAUUGCGAAGGCAGCUUACUAUUUCGUAAUUGACGCUGAGGCACGAAAGCGUGGGUAGCGAACAGGAUUAGAAACCCCGGUAGUCC
rnacentral:rRNA from 1 species